rnacentral:rRNA from 1 species
UUGAGUGAAGUGUGGAAGUACACGAGCGGCGGACGGCUGAGUAACACGUAGGAACGUACCCCAAAGUGAGGGAUAAGCACCAGAAAUGGUGUCUAAUACCGCAUGUGAUCUUCGGAUUAAAGCUUCGGCGCUUUGGGAACGGCCUGCGCAUGAUUAGCUUGUUGGUGAGGUAAAAGCUCACCAAGGCGACGAUCAUUAGCUGGUCUGAGAGGAUGAUCAGCCAGACUGGGACUGAGAACGGCCCAGACUCCUACGGGAGGCAGCAGUAGGGAAUUUUCCACAAUGGACGAAAGUCUGAUGGAGCAACGCCGCGUGCAGGAUGAAGGCUCUAGGGUCGUAAACUGCUUUUAUCUGUGAAGAUUAUGACGGUAGCAGAUGAAUAAGGAUCGGCUAACUCCGUGCCAGCAGCCGCG